UAAAGGAAGUAAUCCAACUCUUUAUAAGUCAUUAUUAAGUUUCUCAUUUUUCCAAUACAGACUCGUUAUCUUCACAUUCUUACAUCCAUUAACCCCAAAAAUUUCCACACCACCGUUUUUUUGUUUUUUUCGGUCAAUAAUUCCUCACCACCUAAACACAGUCCAUUCGAAAUUAGAAAGGAACAGAACCCACCCUUAAUUCCCAAAUUAGUUUUACACUUCCGCUCAAAACUCAAACCCUAAGCCCCAACCCCCACCACUUCUCCGGCGCCGACCACCUCCUGCCGCCGCAUCAGCCCUUGUGUUGCCGGCACCGCCCAUAAUUUCAAAUACUUUGGUCCUUGUUUGAUGCGGUUCAUUUUUUACAACGGCUCUCGAUACGUAACGGAGUUUUGCAAGAGCUGCUGAUAGAAAAAAGACGAGGACGUGUCUUUGAGGGAUAGAGUGAAGGAAAGAUAUAUUCCCCUCUGACAUACAAGUAUUUAAAUAUUUCAUAUACCUGUCUUGGAAAUAAUUAUAUAGUUGGGAGUUUGGAGUAUUUUAUUGCCUUCACAUUGUCUCUAUAUUGCUAUGCUAUUCAUGUCAUAUCACCUAUUUUUUCAAGUGUCUUGGAAUCAAAAUUAUAUAGUUGGGACUAGAAUUUUUGUAUUGCCUUCUUGUUAGGAAAAUGGGAAAAUAAGAAAUUAGGAAAAUUGGAAAAAAAGAAAAUAUGCAAAUGCGCAAUAAAAAUGCAAUACGCAUGCAAUACAACGGCAUAAAUUCGAUGGAUGAGCCCACGCCCCGCGGUGAAGGACAUAAAAGUUUGAUGGAUAAAAAGCCCAAAAUGAAUAAAAGGGACGGAAAUAUUCGAUGGAUGAGCCCACACCAUAGUGUGAAGGGUAUAAGGGGACGGAAAUUCAAACAAAAAACCCCAAAUGUUGGGAAUGGAUAAAAGCCCCGCGGUGGAGGAGGGAGGCAUAAAAGCCCCCAGGUAUGAUAGCGUGUUGUCUAAUACGCAGUCAAUCCGUAUUACAAAUUGAGCUUUGUUGUAAUGGGGAAUAUGAAUUUCUGUCUCUCAACAUUCUCCUUCUUUUCACAAAUAUAGUGCCUUUCUCUUUUCUGAA